UUAUUUAUUUUUGAUAUAUUUUAUUGAUUUUUUACAGAGAGGAAGGGAGAGGGAUGGAGAGCCAGAAACAUCGAUGAGAGAGAAACAUCAACUCAGCUGCCUCCUGCACCCUCCCCACUGGGUAUGCACCCGCAACCAAGGUACAUGCCCUUGACCGAAAUCGAACCUGGGACCCCUCAGUCCGCAGGCCGACGCUCUAUCCACUGAGCCAAACCGGCCAGGGCCCAUUGUAGUUAUUUUUGUUUAGAAAGGCAAACCGUAUGUUUAACUGUAUGUUAAAACUGUUAUAGGAGAUGUCUGGAGAGAAAGGAUCAAGUGUGUAAAGGCUGAUCUUUAAGAAUGAAAGUCAAAGUUCAGUUAAGCAGCGAUCGAACAAGUUGGAAUUGGAGGCGUGUGCUGGCCUGCAGGGCUGAGAGGCUUUGGGGCAGGCGGGUGGGAUUCUGCUCCGGGGGGGCUGUGACUGUUGUGGGUGUUCUCCGGGAAGCCUGAAUGGAAGCCCACUUCCGGGAGGGAUGGGAGGGCCCGGCUGGCAGCACCCGGCACCCGACUCCACCUGGCGUCAGCGCGGCCUCACUCGCACUUCACCUCUUGCUCCCUCUGCCUGACGAACAUAAAUCAAUGUAAGUUCUUCCUGAGCCAUGGAAAGUUGCAGACCCCGGCAGACGUUGGUGGGACUCUCCUGGGAGCAGUGUCCUGUCACCACCUUGUCACAGCCUGGAGUUUGGCACUGACCAGAGCAUCCCAGCACAGACACAGGCGGCUUUUCUCCUUGCCCCGCCCAGCGCCCAAGCAGGACUUGUAUUUAAAGUAUCUGUGAGAAUGUGGAAUGCUAGAGUUUCGCAGAACACAGUUUGGGAAAAAUGAGCUUAGAUUGUGUAUUUAAAUGUGUCCCCUUUUGGUCAUGUAGCCAUUGUAAGCACUUGGUUAAACGGGUUUUCUUAGGGAGCAGUGCUGGCUGCAUGUCAUCCUGCGUCUGGGUGGCCCCUGGGUGGGGGGGUGAGGGGAGCCACUCACUGCUUCAGGGUGAUCCUGGGAGAAAGAACCCCUGUCACUUGCUAACAAUGAACCGACGUAGUAGAUUCUUAAAAUUUUCCAUUUCUAGUUACAUCUUUUCCUAUAAAUUCCAUGCUCAAUGAAAAUUUGCAAAAACAGUAUGUUCCCUCCCCUCUCUUUUUAUGUCACUGUGGGUGGGGGCAAGAGGGCAGAGGAAUGGCAUGCUGAAAUGGCAUAGAUUUCAGGGCCUGAACUUGAAGAAACUGUUUUGAUGGAAUGUCUGACUUUAAGAGGAAAAGAAAGGGCAAGUAGGAUCCAAAGAACCAUCAUUAUUGACAGAUGUCCUGGUGGUUCUUUAAUAAAAAAUAAGCUUUAUUACCUAAAGUCCGUGACCAAUAACGCUUCUGACCACAUGCCUGGGAGUGGUGCCAGACGGGUCCCCGGCCGCCGCUGACUGUGAGGCGCUGCACCCGCAUGUCAGGCCGAAGCAGGAAGUGUCCUGCGUCCGGAGCAGAGGCGCUGGCUGUGUCUGGAUUCUGCCUUCAGAGCAGGUGCGUGGUCGCCCCAGGCCACUGGCCGUUGGUGAGUAUUGUCAUCAGUGCUGUCCAGUUUGCAUGUGGAGGUCUUGCUAACAGUCCCCACAUUGCUCGUUACGUAUCAUUAGGUUAAUUAUGAUGUUUAUAGACCUUAAUCAUACCUUGUAAUUUUGGAGGUGGGAGAAUUCUGUUUUAUGUUUUAGCCAGAAGCAAAGGAUCAUUUCUACUCCCUCAGAAAUAACGAGCCUGAUUCCCUUCAGAAUCAUUUUAGGGUUGUGAUCUUAUUUCUGUGUCCUUUCUCAUGAUCUAAGUGACAGCCAUUCCAGCCAGUAUGCCCAGCACGGGCGAGUACUUCAUCCCAGCGGGCCUGUGUGCACCAGAAUAACCUGGUGUGGCUCAGUGGCUUGGUGGUUGAGCAUCGGCCUAUGAACCAGGAAGUCAUGGUGUGAUUCUGGUCAGGGCAUGUGCCCAGGUUGCGGGCUCGAUCCUGGUGGGGGUGGACAUGCAGGGGCGGUCAGUCAGUGAUUCUCUGUAAUCAUUGGUGUUUCUAACUCUCCUCUCCCUACCUCUCUGAAAUCAAUAGGAACAUUAAAAAACAAACAAACAAAAAAACCUCAUGCCUGGCCGGUUUGGCUCAGGUUCAGCAUCACCUAUGAACCAGGAGGUUAAAGUUUGAUUCCCAGUCAAGGGCAUAUGCCCGGGUUGUGGGCUCGAUCCCCGGUGGGGGGUGGGCAGGAGGCAGCUGAUGGAAGAUUCUCUCUCGUCAUUGAUAUUUCUAUCUCCCCUUUCCCUUCCUCACUCAGAAAUCAAUAAAACAUAAGACAACAACUCCCAAACUUCCUACUGGGUGUUCCACUCCUGCGGACGCCUCAGCCUCGUGCCCGCGCCUGGUCUGCUGCCAGCCCUGCGCUGCAGAGGGCACACGUCUGGCUGGACGGGGCAGGAGGGCACAGUUGGGGCGGACACGGUGUGCCAGGUCUCCCAGGGUGAGAGGAUCCGGGAAUCGGGAAGCCGCCCGCCCUCGGGUUCUCUCUGAGUCGGGUGCUCUGGGCGCACCUGUUGUAUUGCUGUCGGCCCCUUCCUGUGGCUGCUGUUCCUGUGGCCACCGCUCUGCGCCACGGGGGAGGCGCGGGCCUGCGGCGCCCAGAGUUCCAGACGCGGAGAGACACGCAGCCCUCUGUGCACGCUGCUGUGACAGCUGUGAAGUGCCGCACAGGUUGCUGUGGCCUCUUCCUCUGGGGAGGGCAGGGCUUUCAGCAGUGACCCGACCCCGAGGGGGUGCCUCAGACACAGUGACCACUGCUCCCUCCACUCGGGGCGUGCAGUCAGCGACGUCCCGCCCACCUGGCACCUCAGUCAAAUGUGCAUUGCCAGCCACGUAUUUGGGGCAUCUUGGUCUCCUGCUUAAAUGAUCACAGUGAUCUCCCUGCCUUCAGGCUCCACUCUGCCCACAGAGGUGCACACUUCCUCCACUUCUGGAAGCUUCAGUGGCUCCCCAAGGGGAGGCAGUGCUCCCCACACUUCCGUGGUCAGAAAUCACCUGGGCUGCUGCCUAAAGUAGAUUCCCAGCUUACGCCUCUUCAGAUCAGUCCAUUUGUAGGAGACCUGGCCAUCCGGGUUUAUACACAGCAUUCCGGUCGCUUCCAGCAUUUACCAGACUCUUCUUCAAGGGCCCUGCCCCGCACUCCCAACUCUGCCCUGGACUGGGACCCGGGGCCCUCACCUCCCGCACCGCGGCGUGGCCAGCCCCUGCUCUUUGAGCAGCUGCCCACCUGCCCCGUCUCAGCCUGUGCCCUGGGCUGACGCAGGUCCCUCAGGGAGUCACGUGCUCGCGUCUGCUGGACUUCCUUCACACUGAAUAGCCUCUCUCUUCCUGCCGUAUGUGGGGCCUCUAAGAGCCACCGUCUCAUCCUCCAGCUGAAAGGACGCGUGUUAGGAAUGCGACGUCAUAUCUGCCCAGGGAGGAGGAAGCUUCAAACAUACUCCUCUCUGUCUCCCGCCCUGAGCUUGUGAGGUAAAGUUGUCAGGUGGCGCUCAGGUGUGGACGGUCCACGGACGGGACAGCCCGAGAGCGCAGUUCAGCGCCCAGCGCCGACACGCUUCCUGGCUGCAGCACAGGAGAGGGACCCGUGACGCCUCCCCGUGAGCGUGGCGUUCGGCCAAGCGCACUGAUGCCUGGUCCACGCCUGGUGUGACCGGUCAGUUCUGUUUCGCCGGAGAUGAGUGAGCAGGGGAGGCUGGGGGCCGGAGGCGGCCGUGUCCCUAACGCUGAAUCCCAGGGCUCCCCACAGUCAGCGCGGGGUGUGGGGCCUGUGCUCCCGUGACAGCAGCCAGAGCUGGAGCUCUGGCCCAGGUACCUCCCUUUGUGUUCUUGGCAAAAGGAAUUCUCAGAAUGGCUUCCUUGCAUUGAUCCGUGUACCUGUUCGUGCAUGUGACACAGUCGUUUCCUUCUUCCUGUCCAAGAAAGGCCGGGGAGUCGGCUGGUGGGCUGACCCCAAGGCCACGGCAGACCUGCCGGCCUGGUCUCUGGCGGCCUCGCCGGGUGUCCGGGGACAGUGUCGGGGCGAGGGAACGGGGUCUCUUCCUUUCCCUGCCUCUUCUUGUUCAUGCUUUUCCCCAGAGCAUCGGGGCCUCUGCCAGCUUACAAAGGCCAAGGCACUGGGGUCAAAGACAGAUGGUCAGCUGCCGCCUGUGUGUGAGAGAGACGGGUGGGGGGGGGGGGCCUUGGGGCAGGGGUGGCCGUGACCUGGGCUGAGUGAGUGGUAAAGGGUCGUAUGACUUUAUUGCAUCACUUACGUGACUUUCGCAAGAGCUCAGCUCCCCACCCGUUUCCCCGUUGGUAACAGCAGUGUGUGUGCGUCUCGCAGUUAUGACUGAGCCGGCGGGAACCACAGGAAGGAGACCUUGCCCCGGUCCCCGCCCCUGGCCGCCGCAUCGGGCGAGGCUGGCUUUCCCAGCCAGGCCCUCCGCUUUCCUUGACUCUGACCCUGUGGGCUGUCACUCGUCCUGACCGUGCUCCAUGGGAAGACCGUCCCGAAUAGCAGGAUUUUUCUGGAAAACCCAUAGUUCUUAUUUCUAAUGAGUGCACAUUUGGAAAACUCAUUUCUAUUUGCAAGAGUGGGAAAGCCACCAACUACAUGUGUGGACUCGGAAACGUCCAUGAAGGCUUUUGUUUCUCCCUUUGUGUUAUUACUGUGUUUUUCCUGGACUCACACCUGUCAAGAAGUGACUCAAUAUAAACAAUUUUUUCUUUGCCCUUUGCUGUUAGGGCAGAAAGGAAGUACUGCAGCCGCCAAACUGGUCUCAUACGAAGUUAUUCUGGAUUGGAGUUCCCUUCGGUGCAGUUUUACAAGUCCAUGUGAGGACUGGGCGGGCUUUUGUUUGGGAUUAGUGAGCCCUCAUUUUGCUUAUAGCUUACUAGAGGCCCACCUGGCGCACAACAUUCGUGCACGGGGGCGGGGGUCCCUCAGCUCAGCCUGCACCCUCUCCAUUCAGGAUCCCUCUCAUAAUCUGGGACCGCUGGCUCCUAACUGCUCACCUAUCUGCCUGCCUGGUUGCCCCUAACUGCCCUCCCUUGCCGGCCUGGUCACCCCUAACCACCUCUGCCUCAGCCCCCGCCACUGUGGCUUUUUCUGGAAGGAUGUCCAGAAGAUGUCUGGUCUAAUUAGCAUAUUACCCUUUUAUUAGUAUAGGUAAGUAUUUGUCAUAUUAUUCUCUACUUUUCUAUAUGUAUUUAAAAUACUCCAGAAUAUUUUAAGUGAAUAAAAAAUGGUCAAGUUGCAGAAAAAUAAAAGUUUAGAAAUACAACCUGGUAGGCUUGAAAGCAACAUUUGCAUAAAAGGGCAUACGUUGCAGUCGGCAAGAAAACUUGUUGUUAGGAUUGCUUGCUUAAUAUUCUUUUGUUGGAAAGGUGUGGUUUGGGCAAAGGAGAAAAGGAAACCAGCCCAAUGAAAGGGAACGUCUGAUUGGGCCGUUGCCGCAGCAGAGAGGGGCAGGUGCGGCGAAGGUUCAGGCUGUCCACAGGCAAGCAUGUCUGUGUGUGUGGGACACCAAAGGACACCUGUCACACCUGAAACACUUUGCUAACACAAUUGUGGAGCUCAGGGAGAAUCACUGUUUGUAAAACUAUUAGUUCCCUGACAUAUAAAAUAUACAUACAUAUAAAUACACGUGCACUCUUAUGAGCUUCCCCUGCCCUCCACUUAAUAUUUGGCCAUGGCCUUCUUUUCAUGUCAACGAAUUGGAGGCACAGACAUGAAUUUUAAUGGCUACAGUGUUAUCCCUGACUUUGACAUUACUGCGGUUUACCUCACUAGCGCUUUAUUGUGGGGCAGGUUGUUUCCGGUUUCCCCUGGCAUCAGCUACAGUGAACAUAAUUGCUCAUUUGACUGUUUACUUAGGACACAGUCACAGACAUGGAACUCCUGGCCCAAAGCUAAUUCACUUGAAUUUUGAUCCACAUUUCCAAACUGACUUUCUAGAAAGUGCUUCUGUCUGUUUAGUCCAUUGGUUUUAAAUCAGAUUACACUCCCACAAACGGGUAAGAGAAAACUGUUCAGUGCGCCUUGGGCAGAUCGCAAACGCUUGCUGAACUUGAGCAACCCCGGGGCGCGGGACCUGGAGGAUCCAGGCUGGAGGGUGAAGUCCAGGGAGGUGUGGGUGGCGCGGUUGAGGGCCCUGUGUGGGUGCGGGCGUGUGAGUGCGUGUCGCUCGGGUCCACGCUCAUGCACACACCCACGUGCCCGCACUCCCGCUCUGCACCCUGGCCACCAGGAAACUCCGUGGAGCUGCCGUGAGCUCGGAUGCAUCCAGCCCCAGCACCAAGCAAGUCUGAGAAAGGUUCUGCCACCGGGAACCUUGCGGAGUUCAGCCUGCUCGCCAGUCCCCGCCCAUUGGUCGAGCCUUCUCAUCGGACCCUGGCUCUUUAUAUGGAUAGAUAGCUGUGUGACUCGAUGGGGUGUUGCUGGAGGAUGAAAACCCAGAGGGGCUCAUGGUUAAUGUACAGGCUGUGUCUCUGUUAACGUGGGUGUGCCCCGUUUCAGGAGCUGUUUAACCUGCCAGGUGUAGUUUUGGGGCCUGAUUCACACAGCCCGUCCCCAGUGUAGCCAGAAUUUCAAGCUAUAAGUCUCUCUUGGAUUGUGUUCUUCACAUUUGGCUGCAACACAGCGGCAUCAUUUCCUAGAUGGGCCCUGUGCACGUGCUCCACACACAGACUCACCCAGCUCGUGCCCGCAACACGGCUGGGAAAAUGAAAGCGCUUGCAAGGUUAGAGAGGCUGGCCCCAGGGGACAUGAAUAGAAUCCGAGAACCACAUGGAGCCCCCAGCUGCCCAAGUUCAAGGGCUUUUCUUGGUUCUACCCCCCCCCCCCCCCCAGCCCACUGUGUUCCUGAGCAGCUUCACACCGCAGUGCCUGGGGAGUUCCAGCUGAGGGCAGGGGCAGUGACUGUCCACAGGCCCCCGGGGCGGGGGCAGGUGCUGGCCACACCGAGCCUGCUGGGUGACUAACCUCAUUCCAGCCCAGCCAAUUGCAUUCCGUAUGUAAUUACACUUUCCUGCCCAAAGGCAUCCCUCUUAGUAAAACGGGCACCGCACUCAAAGCAUUCCUGAUGGGACCAUUAGGGUCGAGGUGGAGGCUCUGAACAAGAAGCCAGGGGAACCCAGUCAUUGAGUUUCGGGGUGUCCAGUCCUAACGCUGCCUUUGCUGUUCUAGAUGGAAUCCUCUUUGGAGGGAGGCGGCGUGUGGGCGUGUGGGCCUUUGGAGAAGAUUCCAGAAUCCCUUAAAAAGUCUUUAUGGCCAAGAUGAACUCAGCCAAGUGUGGGUCAAACGCCAGAAGGUCCCCGGAAUGUCUUGUCUGAAGCUGUGGGUGCGGAGUGACCUCAGCAGGGCCGGGUGUGGUGAGUCAGGAUGGCCAAGGAGAAGGUUGCUCCCGCUCCCCAGGGUGGUUUAAAAGGCACUUAGAAACGCAAGGAUUAAUGGGCGCGGACUUCCUCCCCUGCCUUCUGCCUUCCUACCUGCCCCUCCGUCUCCCCUCCUCCCCUUCCUUCCUACUCUCUUUCCUACAUUCCAAAUGUUAACGUUAUAGUAUAAUAAAAAAAAACUAAGACAAAACUUUAAAAGAACAAAA